UAUAACCUUAUAUAUUAUAAAGUUACAGUCCUCUGUAUUUCUCCCUUAUAGGUUAGUGCUCGUCCAGAAUGACCGCAACUGGACAAUUGUUGUUUAUCAGUAUCACUUAGUUUCCAAUUACUGCGUUACGUCUCGGAGGUGGUGAAGGUUAAUUCUCUUGGGAUUUGCAGAAUGUUUUGUACAGGGAAGAAGAAGGGUCUGAAGCAUCUCUCUGAGGUAGGUGUCAUUUUAUACACGCCUAUGACAUAAUAAAGGAAAUUUUGACUCCCCGACAAUAUAGUACACAGUUUAGUGAGUAACCAUGUAUUCUAUAAAAUACUCUCAUGUGAUGAAGCCGUACAUUAACUGUAUGUAAAGCUCUGCAGUGUUUAGGGUGUGUUGUUUAUACCUUUCUCAGCCCAUCAAUUUAUAGCCUGAUAGGCUGGAAUACAUUUUUGUGACUCUAUAUUUGGUGUGUGGCAUACUUGUUCUUUGAAAAGCAUCAUUAGUGUACACUAACAUGCAAUAAAGGGAGGGUUGUGUCUAGAACAUUAUUAGAAACAUAAUUGUAAAUAACAUGCGCGCCAAACCCACUUAUUAUAAAACGCCCUUGAUUUCAAAGCUUCUGCCUCCUUGUUAAUUUUUCUAGUUGUCACAAGGAGGAGUGAUCAUGGACCAAAUAAACUCCAAUUUCUCCAAUUAGUAAGAACUGGCAAUGCAGAAUCUGUAGUUAAAUUGAACUGUCACUUCUCAGGAAUUUUAAUAUUAUGUUUACUUCCAUAUUUAACAAAUAUGUAUUUGUACGGUGUUUUUAUAAGUUAUAUGUGAUUUUCAAUCUUUUCUUCCAUGGUUUAAAUGGACACUAUAGUCACCUGAACAACUUUAGCUUAAUUUCCAGACAAUUAAUUGUUCCUCGUUAAGUUAUACCUGUUGAUCAAAACAAGGAUCCAGGGCUCUCAUUAAAGGAACACUAUGGCAUUCAGAAUACAAAUCUGUAUUCUUAACGUUCUAGUCCCUAAUUCGAAAUUGCACCCCCGUUGUGCAAUUAAAAUGAAUGAAUAAAGGUGAAACUUACCUUUUUAUUCUGGUGCUGCUGCCUGCUCUGCUUACUGCGACAUCAUUGUGGAGGUGUUGCAUACUCAGCAUUUAUCCAAUGCGAGUGCUGUGCAUCCAGUGAAAUUCUUCUCAUAGGAAAGCAUUGAAUUCAAUACUUUCAUAUGAGCUACAUUUGAUGAUGCCUGACAUCUUCAUGGAGGUUGACUGUCACAUGACCAGGCUUUACUGCACAAGAAGUGCCUCCUAGUGGCUGCCAGUAGGUAUGUUUCACCCUACAAUGGAAACAUUAAUUGCAGGGUUAAAACUACAUUGCCACUGCAGACAGACCACUUCAUUGAGAUACAAUGGUCUGGGAUCACUUAGUGUUGCUUUAAGUUAGGACUGUGGCACAUUGAAAAGAAAAUUCCAGGAUAAUUUUUUUUUUUAAAUAGUUUUGCUUAAAUGUUAAUAUUACCUUGUUUUUCACAGUUCAGGUUUAGUGCAUGAAUCCUGAUACAUAAUACUUGUAUAAUUUCCUGUGGAAGUGGCCAUGAAUUACCUGGUAUGAGCUAAGAUUUCACAGGGAGCAUAUGUGAAUUAUAUCCCAGAAUAGUGUUUAUGCAAACAUGGGGGCUUAUAUCUGCCACGUGUAACGUACGCUAUUAAAUUGGGCAGAUUUGAUUAAUGUAGUUGAAUUUAAAGAUUUAGAAAAUAUAUAACUCUGUACGUAACUAUGGAAAGUAACUCUGUAUCUUGGUUUUUACCGUUCCAGGUAAAAUUAAAUAUAGAAAUACACACGUGUUUAUUCUGCAACUGGGCACCUCCAUCUUAACUCUCUGUCAGCCAUUGUUAUGAGCUCUGUCCUUUUAACAAUGUUUCUCUAUCACCUCUUCAUUUGCGAUGUUCACCUUUACUUUGCAUUGUCUGAACUGGAGAAUGACAUAAUUUGCAAAAAAUUUUAAUAUGAAUUUAAUACAAAAUAAAGCAUCACAUUAAAAAGGUGAACACAAGUUAUGUCUAAUUUUCAAUGUUUUAUUCUAAGGUGUAAUUUUAAAGACGUGACCGUUUACCUGUAGCUGACAAAAGCUGUAUCAUAGACAGUAACACAAAUGGCGCCAUCACUCCAUAAAAGGAUCUGUAGCGCAAAUCGCCCAAUGAGAGUGUCUGAGACUUAUCUUCCAAUGUAGACAGCUCUUCUCCGAAGAAGACCUUCAGUUAACCGUAAAAGCUUGAACAUAUGGUUACUAAAGAUAUUUAUGGUUAUUUGUGCUUUUUAGUAGUAUAUUUUAUCUUUGAAUUGCCAAUUCCACCACUUGUUCUAAUUAUCUCAUACUUUAUAUUGCAUCAAAGAACCGCAGUGAUUUAGAAGAGAUACAUUUUAUGCAUUCCUCAUUGUUUUUGAUUUUCCUUAGGAAAUAUGACUGGACGGUGAUCUCUCAUUAACGGUCUUGCCUUGCAACCCACAAGUAAAUAUGAAUCACAUCCUGGUUGCCAGAUGGGGAUGGAAGGUACUCUGUAUUUAUUCCCUUUCAGAAGCAGCUUGUUGGAUGAGGAGAAACGAAAAAAGGAAAAUGUACGUGCUGUCUGUGAGUGUUUCUUUGGCAGUGUCUUAGCUGGUUGUUGUGACGCAUCAUAGAAGUAGCAAUCAGCAAAUAUACUGCCCUAGAAGUUCUGCACAUUGUUAGGCUCAGAAAAUGCUCUAGAAUGUGGACUUCAGAAGAGAAGACCUGUCCAGGAAGAAUAAAACGCUAACGGAACGAAUUGGAGCUCCGCUACUGUAACUAUACCUGCAUUUUAUAUAAACAAAGCAAUUGGUGAUAUUUAUGAUUAAUAAUACUAAAGAGUAUGUCUUGACAUGUUCGAAAACUAUGUGUUAUAUUUCCUGUAACUUUAAAUACAAAGAUUGGGAUUACAUUUAGAAGUUAAACAUUUGGUAUUUACAAGGCAAUUGUCACCUAACAGAUAAUGUAUAUUAUGAGCUGAUUUGAGUAAAUUUGGGUUAAUAUUAAUUCUAAAUAUGACAUAUAUAUAAAAUGAUUUCUACCUUCCCCCACCAUCAUUUUUCGAUCUUUUUAUUGAGUUUUUAAAAGAGUACUGUUGAGACCCAGAGGAGUGUGCCUGCUACCUGCACAGACCCACACGAGACUAUACGAGUGACGUCUCACACUCUGUGUGUUAUAAGAGUGCAUGCACUGGAUCUGUAGUAAACUCUUUGGUUUGUUUAAAAAUGAAAGCCUACUUACUUCAAUAAGCACAUAAGUACACUGCUGAAUUUACUGCUCUAUUAAUGGAUUAAUUUUUUUUUCUUUAAAUAAAUUAUAGGUGUAGUUUGAUUGACAACCUAAUUUAAUGAAUAGUUGCACUGCCUGCUGCAUAUGUCGUUGAAAAUUUCUCCCAUAGAAAAAAAUGAAUGGACUCCCUUCUGCACUCUAAUAUUCUAGUUUUGUCUUUGUUUUAUCCUUUUUGUUAUUGAUUUGGUUGCUGUUAUUGCUGAUGGUUCAUUCCUGCCUGGAAUAGUUACUUUAAAAGGUUGACAUGUGCACUUGGAUACCAAUGGCGGACAUCAUGGCACGCGCGCAAUCUUUGUAACAGAUGAGGGAAAUGAUACUUUGUAUCUCACUGGAAAAAGGUCAACGUAUGGAUUUGCCAAAGGUGGACAUUUCAUUGCUAUGGUUACUCCCAUCCUAAAGCCACUUUAAAAAGUUUGCCCACGAAAGCCCGUACUGUCGUUCUAGCUCCUUUCAAAUGACGUGCCAUUACAGCACUGGAAAUAUGGGUUGUAAUUCAUGCAAAGGUAAAAUCACCUCAUAAUGCCCCAGCUUCCCUAAGGCUAGCCAAAUGAUUUCAAAUGUUGUCAGUGUGAGCAGUGCUGUAACGUCACUGUGCUGUUAAUGCAACACCAUUCCAGCAUUGUUCAAACCAUGCUUUGCAUUCAAAUGAAUAAUUAAUAUCCUAAAAUGCAGAAUUCAUGAUACUGUGUGGUACAAUGUGCCUUUUUAAAAAAAAGUUUUGUCUAUUAUAUUUAAACAGGCAAAACACAAGGUAACGUUUUUUUUUGUUUUGUUGUUGUUUUUUUUAUUUUUAUUUUUUUAUUUAUAUGACAGGAUAGUACGGAAGCCCAGAGAGGCCAUGUUAAAUACAAAUAUGAUAUAGAUACAAAGGAGCAGAGACCUGUUUACACUUUUAUGAUGUCUCAAACUGCUUAUAUCCUAAUGCUGUCACUGAAAUGUAUGUAUUAAUUAAAAAUAAAACCAUGAUUUUAU
rnacentral:lncRNA from 1 species